UACCACUCCAACUACUACUACAACUACCACUACUACAAGUACUUCACAUGCUCCAGGACAGAUGUCAUUCGUGGCAGUAGGAGUGAUUUUAACAACUCUCAGCAUAUCUCUUCAGAACAUCUUUCUUGACUGAGACAUGCUGCUGCUCUGUGAUCUGUCACAAUAUGAAACCCUGCGUUUGAAGUUUUAUCCCAAAUGUGAUUUCCCAUGGUUCCACUGUAUAUUCUGAAUUUCUCCUGGGAAUCAAAUAAAAGCUUCAACGCACUACAUUACGACAUCAUUACAACCACCAAGGAGGUUGUUUGUUGUGCUGUUGAUCUAUGUUGCAUUAUACAGAGUUGUUUGUUUGUUUGUUUGACAGUAGUAAUAUGAAGAAAAUGCUGAUUUGCACCAAAGUUUUGGUUUAAUUUUUUUUUUUUUUUAUCAAUUUCCUUCCAUCCAUGUCAUUGUUCCUCUCUUUCUCCUCACUUCCUGACAGCUCUCCACUGAACAUACAAAAUAAGAAUUAUUUCAUCAUUGAUAAAACUUUCUUCACUACUUUGUAUUUGUACUUAAUACCCAGGGAUUAAAUUGCUCAGCAUAUGCGAGCAACAUUUUAUUUGCACACAACAUUGGAGGGAAAUUAAAGAGGCAAGAUAGUGAAAUUGAGUCAAAGUAGCUGACGCGACUAUGCAUGGAUAGAUCUGUUAUCCAUUACUGCUACUACUAAUAAUGUCAAAGUAUUUUUCAAAAACGAUAUUGGAAUAUAUUUAAAACCAUCAACAUUAAAAGUAAAAACUAGAGCUGCAUAUAAAUCAAAUAAAAAAGUCAAAUACAAUAAUAUAUACACAUAAGAGUGUGAUGAUGCAAGUGGAAAACCAAAGUGAUAAGUGUGGAGCAGGUCUUGCACAUUUUCCGGCGAAUUGCACAUGAUAUACUACAGAAGCCCAUUUCUGCUUGUACAAGAAAAUAAAUAUGAAUCAAAAUUA